rnacentral:rRNA from 1 species
AUUGAACGCUGGCGGCAGGCUUAACACAUGCAAGUCGAGCGGGGGGAGGUAGCUUGCUACCUAACCUAGCGGCGGACGGGUGAGUAAUGCUUAGGAAUCUGCCUAUUAGUGGGGGACAACAUUUCGAAAGGGAUGCUAAUACCGCAUACGCCCUAAGGGGGAAAGCAGGGGAUCUUCGGACCUUGCGCUAAUAGAUGAGCCUAAGUCGGAUUAGCUAGUUGGUGGGGUAAAGGCCUACCAAGGCGACGAUCUGUAGCGGGUCUGAGAGGAUGGUCCGCCACACUGGGACUGGGAAACGGCCCAGACUCCUACGGGAGGCAGCAGUGGGGAAUAUUGGACGAUGGGGGGAACCCUGAUCCAGCCAUGCCGCGUGUGUGAAGAAGGCCUUUUGGUUGUAAAGCACUUUAAGCGAGGAGGAGGCUACCGAGAUUAAUACUCUUGGAUAGUGGACGUUACUCGCAGAAUAAGCACCGGCUAACUCUGUGCCAGCCGCCGCCGUAACAC